rnacentral:ncRNA from 1 species
CUGAGCCGGCUCCUGGCACAAGGAGCCGGACAGUUUUUUAACGAACCGCACGCUCAAAAAGCAGCGGUUUGUAUAUGUACCUAAACCAACAGGGGCACUCGGGUAACACCCGAACUAUCUGUCGGGGCCGGCAAUUUUCCGUUCAACGGAAUAGGUGGCGGCAGGAUCGGAGGCAGCGACACUGCUCCCGGAUCAACGCCAGCAUGUUUCGCGCGGAUGACAAGGCUUUGCCUUGCCAAUUAAUGGUCUUAGCGCCAGGUGGUGUCCCCUUAUAGAGGGUGACCA